AAAUUGAAGAGUUUGAUCAUGGCUCAGAUUGAACGCUGGCGGCAGGCCUAACACAUGCAAGUCGAACGGUAACAGGAAGCAGCUUGCUGCUUUGCUGACGAGUGGCGGACGGGUGAGUAAUGUCUGGGAAACUGCCUGAUGGAGGGGGAUAACUACUGGAAACGGUGGCUAAUACCGCAUAACGUCGCAAGACCAAAGAGGGGGACCUUCGGGCCUCUUGCCAUCAGAUGUGCCCAGAUGGGAUUAGCUUGUUGGUGAGGUAACGGCUCACCAAGGCGACGAUCCCUAGCUGGUCUGAGAGGAUGACCAGCCACACUGGAACUGAGACACGGUCCAGACUCCUACGGGAGGCAGCAGUGGGGAAUAUUGCACAAUGGGCGCAAGCCUGAUGCAGCCAUGCCGCGUGUAUGAAGAAGGCCUUCGGGUUGUAAAGUACUUUCAGCGGGGAGGAAGGUGUUGUGGUUAAUAACCGCAGCAAUUGACGUUACCCGCAGAAGAAGCACCGGCUAACUCCGUGCCAGCAGCCGCGGUAAUACGGAGGGUGCAAGCGUUAAUCGGAAUUACUGGGCGUAAAGCGCACGCAGGCGGUCUGUCAAGUCGGAUGUGAAAUCCCCGGGCUCAACCUGGGAACUGCAUUCGAAACUGGCAGGCUUGAGUCUUGUAGAGGGGGGUAGAAUUCCAGGUGUAGCGGUGAAAUGCGUAGAGAUCUGGAGGAAUACCGGUGGCGAAGGCGGCCCCCUGGACAAAGACUGACGCUCAGGUGCGAAAGCGUGGGGAGCAAACAGGAUUAGAUACCCUGGUAGUCCACGCCGUAAACGAUGUCUACUUGGAGGCUGUGCCCUUGAGGCGUGGCUUCCGGAGCUAACGCGUUAAGUAGACCGCCUGGGGAGUACGGCCGCAAGGUUAAAACUCAAAUGAAUUGACGGGGGCCCGCACAAGCGGUGGAGCAUGUGGUUUAAUUCGAUGCAACGCGAAGAACCUUACCUGGUCUUGACAUCCACAGAAGUUUGCAGAGAUGCGAAUGUGCCUUCGGGAACUGUGAGACAGGUGCUGCAUGGCUGUCGUCAGCUCGUGUUGUGAAAUGUUGGGUUAAGUCCCGCAACGAGCGCAACCCUUAUCCUUUGUUGCCAGCGGUUAGG
rnacentral:rRNA from 2 species